rnacentral:rRNA from 1 species
UACAGAGACUGCAAGCGUUAUUCGGAUUCACUGGGCGUAAAGGGUGCGCAGGCGGCCGUGUGUGUCAGAUGUGAAAUCCCGGGGCUCAACCCCGGAACUGCGUCUGAAACUACAUGGCUAGAGUAUUGGAGAGGGUAGCGGAAUUCACGGUGUAGCAGUGAAAUGCGUAGAUAUCGUGAGGAACACCUAUGGCGAAAGCAGCUGCCUGGGCCUUUUCUGACGCUAAGACUCGAAAGCUGGGGGAGCAAACAGGAUUAGAAA